UACGAAGGGUGCUAGCGUUGCUCGGAAUUACUGGGCGUAAAGCGCACGUAGGCGGACUCUUAAGUCGGCGGUGAAAUCCUGGAGCUCAACUCCAGAACUGCCUUCGAUACUGGGAGUCUCGAGUUCGGGAGAGGUGAGUGGAAUUGCGAGUGUAGAGGUGAAAUUCGUAGAUAUUCGCAAGAACACCAGUGGCGAAGGCGGCUCACUGGCCCGAUACUGACGCUGAGGUGCGAAAGCGUGGGGAGCAAACAGG
rnacentral:rRNA from 1 species